UGGGGAAUUUUGGACAAUGGGCGAAAGCCUGAUCCAGCAAUGCCGCGUGUGUGAAGAAGGCCUUCGGGUUGUAAAGCACUUUUGUCCGGAAAGAAAUCCUUGGCUCUAAUACAGUCGGGGGAUGACGGUACCGGAAGAAUAAGCACCGGCUAACUACGUGCCAGCAGCCGCGGUAAUACGUAGGGUGCAAGCGUUAAUCGGAAUUACUGGGCGUAAAGCGUGCGCAGGCGGUUUGCUAAGACCGAUGUGAAAUCCCCGGGCUCAACCUGGGAACUGCAUUGGGUGACUGGCAGGCUAGAGUAUGGCAGAGGGGGGUAGAAUUCCACGUGUAGCAGUGAAAUGCGUAGAGAUGUGGAGGAAUACCGAUGGCGAAGGCAGCCCCCUGGGCCAAUACUGACGCUCAUGCACGAAAGCGUGGGGAGCAAACAGGAUUAGAUACCCUGGUAGUCCACGCCCUAAA
rnacentral:rRNA from 1 species